rnacentral:rRNA from 2 species
UGGGGAAUAUUGGACAAUGGGGGCAACCCUGAUCCAGCCAUGCCGCGUGAGUGAUGAAGGCCCUAGGGUUGUAAAGCUCUUUUGUGCGGGAAGAUAAUGACGGUACCGCAAGAAUAAGCCCCGGCUAACUUCGUGCCAGCAGCCGCGGUAAUACGAAGGGGGCUAGCGUUGCUCGGAAUCACUGGGCGUAAAGGGUGCGUAGGCGGGUCUUUAAGUCAGGGGUGAAAUCCUGGAGCUCAACUCCAGAACUGCCUUUGAUACUGAAGAUCUUGAGUAUGGGAGAGGUGAGUGGAACUGCGAGUGUAGAGGUGAAAUUCGUAGAUAUUCGCAAGAACACCAGUGGCGAAGGCGGCUCACUGGCCCAUAACUGACGCUGAGGCACGAAAGCGUGGGGAGCAAACAGG